AUCAAAACAAUUUUUUUUUUUGCGAAAAAAGUUACAAAAAGGAUUUUGGGAGAGUUGACAUCAAUUUGUAGUUAAAAAUAGCGGUGGAAAAAUUUCACCUCUAGGGUAGUUAUUGAGAGAGAGAGUUCAGAAUUUAAAAAAAACUCUCUUUAGAAACAUCACAAAUAUUUCGAUUACUUCUCUCUAUAAUUAAUCUUUCACAUUGCUUUCUCUCUCAGUUAUUGUUUUUGUUUCUACACCUUGUCUCUGCAUUUAUUCUCUUCGUCUUGUUCAACGAAAUACACAUUGAAUUGCACUGAGAAGAAAUUGUUGGAAUAUAUGAGUUUGUCUCUACCUCUUACAAAUCCUUGAUUUCUUAUCCCCCAUAUUCUCAAGCUCUUUAAUUUCUGAGACUCUCUGUUUCAUCUACGAGUAUGACUACUUAUGUGUUCUUCCCAUUGGGAGAUUUUUCUUUGAAGACAUCAAUUCAGAUCCUAUUCUCGGUGGGUUCCCAUGAUAUUGUAUAAUUUCCUCACUGAUUGCUUUCUAAUUCUCUCUGACUAUGUGUUUGUUGCAUUGAUUUUAUCUUGUCUGAUUCAGAGGCUGUGUUAUAAUGAUCAAUGUUUGUGAAUAUUCUCUAUCUUGAAUGGUAAAUUUAUGAUGACUCGUUGUUACACUAUGAUUUUGUGUGUUCGAUGCAGGUAAAAACUGCGAGUCCGGCUAUAUAGGUGAGGGAAAAAAAAGAGUUGAUUGUGAUAUGAUAAUGAGGUACCAGUCAAGAAAAUGACUGUCUCAACUUAUGGUUUGGCUCUAAAAGUUUAAGUAAACACAUGAGAUGAAUAAAUGAUAGUUAUAUGUAUUUCAGUGUAUGUGUCUUGGAAGAGAACAUAUAGAGUAUGAGUGGUUUUUACCAAAAGUAGUUAAAGGUUGUGGGUGAAAAGCAUUUGACGUAUGCAAAAGAAAGAAGAAGCAUUUGACGUUGAGGACUCCUUGCACAAGGAACUCCACUAUCACCACUUUUUGCUAGGACUGUCUAAAAUUUAUAGGAUUGCAAAAUAGUUCGAUCUUGGACAAUACUUUGAAAAUGCAACUAUUUUUUAUUGAUCUUGCUUAUUUUUUGGUUUUGGGCAAUUGAAUUGGAUGAUGAAAAACAGGUUGGAGUCAACAAUAACUCUGUUUUUUUACAGUGUUUCUCUAUGGAUGUUCACUUGAAAUUAAUUGAGGAUUUUACAGUGUUUCUCUAUGGUAUUGUUUUUACAUUAUGAUGUCAAAUAUAAGAAUUUGGACUUUAGGAGAUGACGAUUAUAACUACAACUACGAUCUUGUUCUGGCUAUCGAAAAUAAAAAUCAUAAACAAUCUCAAAUCAUAUAAACUAUUCUGAAAUCCAAGAAUAUUUUUUUCCAAAUCGUCAAUAGGGUUUUCUUUUUCUUUUUAAAGUUUCACCAAAAUCAUCUACAUAUACUCAAAGUCCUCCCAAAUCUCACCAGAAGUAAAAUCUCUCCAAACAUUCUCAAAUUCACAAUUCAAUACAUCCCCCCUAAUGUAUAUUAGAUAUCUACCGAAAUAGUACCUAAGCCGUUUUGCUUAGAUACAAGACCAUGAUUAUAGGAGUUUCUUAAGAGAGGUUUUUAAAUUAAAUAGGGAUUUAAUUAAAUCAAAACAAAAUUAAAAAGAUGUUACUGAUCCUUAUGAAAGGAUAUUGGGGAUCGAUCACUAAAAAGAGUUUUUUAACUACGUGUCAACAAAUCAGAGGAAAGACAUUUAUUUUUCUUUUUUCUUUUUUCUUCUCUCUUUUUUUUUCUUUUGUUUCUCGCUUGUGUUCUCCGCCUCGCUUGUGUUCUCCACCAAUUUAUGCGUGAUUAUAAUUGCUCGGUCUUGAUCUUUAUAUGUGUGUUGGCGACACACCAAGUGAGAGAAGCAUCCACUCGAGAGAGAGACUAUAACAUCCCGGGCCUGGCCCAAAAUGAAACUCAAGUGCUGCAGGUCAAAGAAGGAGAAACCCUAGACAUGACCCCUCUCACUUCUUAUAAAAGGGGAAGCCCCCUUAGAGUUCAGCCACAAGAGAGACAGCAAGCGAAGCCAUGUCCGAGCAGAACCCCGCCGCCACCUCUCGCCACCGUUGUCCCGCCUCCGUCGAAGCCAGCCGCCGCCCACCGCCCGCGAAGCCCGAGCCGCCGCACCCGAGCCCCUAGUCGUCGCCUCCUUGAUUCGGUUUCGUGCAAGCAACUGAGAUCUGAACCACAAGAUCCCGAGAAGUGACCGUCUCUUCCACUCUAGAUCCAGAUCUACCACUGCAAUAAGCUAGGGUACGUAGGGUCCAAAAAUUGCAGGAGGAUGUGGAUACGUUGAAGGCAAGAUGUUACAGAGCAAAGCCGCAGCUGUAACCACUACUGAGUGGGAAUCAUUCGGAAACAGUGUUGGAAAGCUUGAACCCUCCUCCUAUAGCUUCGCCUUGUACCAAUGUGUUUGUUGUUUUGUAGUGUCACGGAAGUGUGAACUUGUGUUUGUUGUUUUCUUGUGUCAUUGUCUUUAAAAGAUUAUCUUAAAGAUUAUCUUGUAGUGAAAGUAUAUCUUGCGGUGAAAAUAUUGUCUUUAAAACU